rnacentral:lncRNA from 1 species
UUAUUUCACAAUCCCAUCGUGACCAUACAAAAUCUCUUCCACAAUCCUGGAUUCUCAUCGCACGUUUCCCUCAAAUCGGUUGCAACCAACCACAUCCCACGACCCCAUCCCACGUUCCCGUAACCUCCUCACCCAUACGCACGUUUUCCUCAACCACCCUCAAAUCGUACGCACGUCCCCCUCAAAUCACCCCAUAAAUACCUUUAUAAAAAAAAUGGG